rnacentral:rRNA from 1 species
UACGUAGGGGCGAGCGUUAUCCGGAAUUAUUGGGCGUAAAGAGCGCGCAGGUGGUUGAUUAAGUCUGAUGUGAAAGCCCACGGCUUAACCGUGGAGGGUCAUUGGAAACUGGUCGACUUGAGUGCAGAAGAGGGAAGUGGAAUUCCAUGUGUAGCGGUGAAAUGCGUAGAGAUAUGGAGGAACACCAGUGGCGAAGGCGGCUUCCUGGUCUGUAACUGACACUGAGGCGCGAAAGCGUGGGGAGCAAACAGGAUUAGAUACCCGU